CUCUGGGUUGGAGGUGUGAUGCAACAGUUUAACGGUUAAAUACCACUCGUGAACCGUGCUUACAGAAACAGAAAUAAUCAGCAACAAGACAUUUUAGAGCUUCUGCUCGCUCACACCGAUGACGGGGAGCUCCAAAUUACAGCCCCCUCUAGGAUUCUGUUUUGAAAAUGAUUGCAAUUACAGUCCUGAAGUGCUGCCGUCAAUGGAGCUAUGUGUAAUUAACAUACUACUCCAAGGUUAUGAACCAGGAUUUGCUGCAACACAGGGCUACCGUUCAUUCAUGCUGAAGACCACAGUGAGGAGCCUGCCUGUGACGCAAAGCUCUUCUGAAGCGUUGCACUUGUUGGCAGUGCCAGGCCACUUCAUUCAGUCCGUCGUGAGCAGGCACGGACGCUCACACACGAGCACUGGUAAUCCCACCUGUGUGGGGUCUUCCACUCCAAGCUGGGUGCAAACAGACCAGGAACAGCUAUUUUUGGCAUGCUAUAGAACAUGCUAUCGUAUUUAUAUAAAAACUUCUUUACAUUGUGAGGAUAUGAGGAGUUGCAAUUCCUAUGAGACACCUUCAUGAAAAAGCAGGACCACCCAAAACACUGAGACAUCAUGUGAUCCUCCUACUGAUGCUCUUUCUGUUUCUACUGUUUUAAUCAAUUUUAGCUUUUAAAGAGCUUCACAUUUUGUGUAAAAUAAAAUGCUGUCUUCUGGAGACUCACUGGUCCUCACAACAUCUCCUUCACUUGGUUUACUGUCACACUUAUAACAAAUACAGUGUCCACCAAAAGUAUUCAUGCCCCUGUCGAUAUGGGAACAUAAAUGGUCAUAGAGCAGAAUGAGUAAUGUAAUGAAUUAUGUCUUAAAAAUUCUAAUAUUCCAGUACUGUAGUCGUUAUGGCACUGCACAAAGCCAAGUCAUCUUCACCAUAAAUAAUUAACUUAAUUCCAGAAAACAAGUGGGUCACGUAGUAAUACUUGUGCACACACACACAGUCCAUUUGGCAACAAUGGUAAAUCCAUCUCAUUUUAAUUCCUAAAAAAUCUUCAGGAGAAGGUUCAGCUACCGGGGGGAGACUGAGUGAUCAGCCUUUCGUUUAUUACCCUACUGGAAAUACCAAUAACAUCAUCUGCCCUGAGUGUUUUUUCCUGAUAUUUCCUAUAUAAUUGGCUUUUUUUUGCCGAAACAUUUGUUCUUAUCAAAUCUGGGUCUUUCCAGGCAUUACAAGUCUUUCCCUAAUUGCUUGGAAAAGUAAUGUGCAUACAUAAUUUAGAAACAUCCAGGCUCCUGGGUGGCUCCCAGUUCAUCCAUUAGUUUUCUUUAGUCGCCCACAGUGCCCUUAUCAGCUGGGAGACAGGAAGUGUU
rnacentral:lncRNA from 1 species